AGAGUGUGGCAGAGGGAAGCAGCUCACAUCAUGAUCAAUGUCAUGCCUGGGUUCCUGGAAGAAGGUCCAUGUUAUCAAGAUCUUAUAUGCUGAGGUUGUGGGUAACAACAAAGGUGCUCUUAUAUCUAUAUAGCCUAGAAAAGGGGAAUAGCAAGAUGGAGAAGGGACCUGGUGACCCUGGGCAGCAGCCUUUCCUUGAGACAUCUCCCCCACCAGCAAGACCUCAACUUCCUCAACUUUUAACUCCUUGACACACAGGAGGUGAGAAGGAGACCUGGCCUGAUCAACUGAGAGAAGCUGUGUUCCUGUCAAAAGGCACUCAACCCAGAGGGCCUGUCCCACCACAAGGGAACACCACAAGAGAGGGUCUUCCUAAAUUGCCAUGAGAGUUGAGAGUCAUGAUAAGUUGCCAAAGCCUGCCUUGAACUUGGGAUCCUAAUGCUUCAUUUUCCUGAGUCACUGGAAUACAGGCCUGUAUCACUGCUUCUAGCUUAAUUAGUACAUUUUAGCAAAUGCUAAUAUUAAUUCAGAACUUAUAUUGAUAUGUGGUUAUUAUAUACAAUUUCUUUUAUAAAA